UCGGGAAUUUUGGGCAAUGGGCGAAAGCCUGACCCAGCAACGCCGCGUGAAGGAUGAAGUAUUUCGGUAUGUAAACUUCGUAAGAAUAGGAAGAAUAAAUGACGGUACUAUUUGUAAGGUCCGGCUAACUACGUGCCAGCAGCCGCGGUAAUACGUAGGGACCAAGCGUUGUUCGGAUUUACUGGGCGUAAAGGGCGCGUAGGCGGCGUGGUAAGUCAUCUGUGAAAUCUCCGAGCUUAACUCGGAACGGUCAGAUGAUACUGCUGUGCUAGAGUACAGAAAGGGCAAUCGGAAUUCUUGGUGUAGCGGUGAAAUGCGUAGAUAUCAAGAGGAACACCUGAGGCGAAGGCGGGUUGCUAGGCUGAUACUGACGCUGAGGCGCGAAAGCUAGGGUAGCAAACGGGAUUAGAUACCCAGGUAGUCCCUGAGCGGGCUGGCAAGGCGCAU
rnacentral:rRNA from 1 species